AAGGCUCCGGGAAAAGCUGAGCGGUGUUAACCUUUCUGCGUCCGUAGUAGUGAGGGCUCCUUACAUGUUUUUUGAAUGAUCAUUUAUUGAGCUCUAAAUUUUUUAACUCCCUGUAGACAUGUUACAUACAUUUCCUCAUUUAAUUUUUGCAACCACCUUUUGAAGUAGGUGCCAUUGUCCCGGUUUUGGAGGAGAGGAAAUCCAUCGAAAGAGGGAUGAGGUCCUACAACUGUGGCUUUUCCAAAGGGGACCAGCCAAUUCCACCUAGACUUAUCUGACGCCAAGUGAAUGAAAAAUUAAUUUUACAGAGGAAUUUCUUGUGCUUGCUUAUUUCAAAGAUCACCACUGUAUAUUUAUCUGAAAUGAAUAUUACUCCUAGAGUAGCCAUCACUUUUUUCUUUUUUUUUCAGAAAGAUCUCUUUGCUGAAAUAUAAAUAGUGCAGAGGAUAAAGCUAAUGCCAACACCCAGAAGUUACCAUUAUUAAUCUUAGGGCCAAUCUGCAAUUUCCCCCCCAUUUUUCUGGCGAAAAGAACAGGUGAUUACCUAGUAGAACAGCCACCCAUGGAACAAUGUUUAACACUGGACUCCAUUCAUAAGUAUGUGGCAGAACUACACAUGGAUGAAGGAAGAAAGCAGAAGAAUAGCAGAAUGGAACAAAGGUUGUCCUGGGAAAGAAUAAUAAAUUAUUUUCCAAAAGAAGGAGGAAGAUUAGCCCUGAGCUAACUGCUGCCAAUGCUCCUCCUUUUGCCCAGGAAGACUGACUCUGAGCUGACAUCCACGCCCAUCUUCUUCUACUUUAUACGUGGGGCCCCUACCACAGCAUGGCUUGCCAAGCGGUGCCGUGUCCGCACCUGGGAUCCGAACCUGCGAACCCCGGGCUGCCAAAGCAGAACGUGCGAACUUAACUGCUGCGCCAUCAGGCCGGCCCCUAGAGCAUAUUUUUAAUAUGGUUAUAAAUUGGAAAUUGCACUAAGUAUUUUUGAGUGUUUCAGUGAGAUAUGAGACAUCUGAGAAUAAAUUUGAUGAAGUUCUGAAAAAAAUCCUUAAUUUUUGGAAAGCUGAACUUCUAAAACUAUAAAUACCAUUUCAUCUAACCUCUUCCCAGAAAGACUAUUCCAGAGUUGGUGAACUACCUUUGGUUCCCCAUUUUCAAAGAUUUCCAGUCAUUUCUCAGUUUACAAUGGAAAGAGCUUUGUAUUUCAGUAUUUCUUACAUUGGUGGUUGGCUGUUGGAGUUGUAUGAGGGUUAUGAGAACAGAGCACUCAACAGCUGUCUAUUGAUGAUGGUGGCAUGUGUCAUCAACCUUACAGAGCUAAAUGCAAAUGUUUUAUAUCCCCUUAAGCAGCUCAGUUAUUCUCAAAUAUUAGUGUAUGUAAGAAUAAUCUGGGAGAAAUUAUUUAAAAUACAGACUCCUGCGUCCUAUAACUCUCUCCUCCAGAGUUUCUGAUUCUGUUGAUUGGCUGUGGGGCUCUGCAAUGGAGAUUUUAAGAAGCAUUCCCAGUGAGAAAUAUAGCUUAGUCCAUCUAUUUUGUUCUUUCCCUCCUUAUUCUUUGUUGGUUUUUUUGCUGAGGAAGAUUUGACCUGAGCUAACAUCUGUUGCCAAUUUUCCUCUUUUUUUCUUUUAUGUGAGCUGUGGCCACAGCAUGGCUGCUAUCAGACACAAGUGGUGUAGGUCCAUGCCCGGGAUCUGAAUGUGGCCCACUGAAGCAGAGCGCACCCAACUUAACCACUAAGCCACUGGGGCUGGCCCUCCAUCCCUGUUCUUUAAGACCUACUACACUAGAAUUUCUUCUGCCUUUCUUUUUUUUGAGGAAGAUUAGCCCUGAGCUAACAUCUGCUGCCAAUCCUCCUCCUUUUGCUGAGAAGACUGGCCCUGAGCUAUCAUCUGUGCCCAUCUUCCUCUACUUUAUGUCGGACGCCUGUCACAGCAUGGAGUGCCAACAGGGGCAUAGGUUCCACACCUGGGAUCUGAACUGGCAAACCCCGGGCCGCCGAAGUAGAGCUUGCGAACUUAACUGCUGCACCACUGGGCCGGCCCCUAGAAUUUCGUCUGUCUUUUCCUGCUUUCUCAGUUCUUUUUUUCCUUGGCCACAAUCUAAAAUUUCACUUGCCUCUUUAUGCCAUUAAACCUUAGUGAAUUC
ensembl:lncRNA